rnacentral:rRNA from 1 species
GACGAACGCUGGCGGCGUGCUUAACACAUGCAAGUCGAACGGAGUGGCGAGCGGGUGAGUAACACGUGGGUGACCUGCCCUGCACUUCGGGCUAAGCCGGGGAAACUGGGUCUAAUACCGGAUAGUGUGGGAUGGGCCCGCGGCCUAUUAGCUUGUUGGUGGGGUAAUGACCGACCAAGGCGGCGACGGGUAGCCGGCCUGGGAGGGUAGACGGCCACAUGGGGACUGAGGCACGGCGCAGACUCCUACGGGAGGCAGCAGUGGGGAAUAUUGCACAAUGGGCGGAAGCCUGAUGCAGCGACGCCGCGUGGGGGAUGACGGCCUUCUGGUUGUAAACUCCUUUCACCAUCGACGCGGUAGAUGGAGAAGAAGCACCGGCUAACUACGUGCCAGCAGCCGCGGUAAUAC